rnacentral:lncRNA from 1 species
ACCUGCUACACAACAGAAUCUACCAGCUGCUCCGCAACAAAACCUACCACCUGCUGUUCAGCUUCCAAAUCAGUUCCUCCAGAGCCAGAACCCUACUGUAUCUCAGCGAGAUCCUUGUCAUCCAAUACCUGGUCAAACUCAAGAUGUCCCAAGUCAACAAUACCCAGUUCCUCCAACUCAGCAGUCACAGGCCCCUCCUCCGGCUCCUCCACACCAACCAUAUCAACCUACCCCACCACCAUCUUACUCUCAGCCACCACAGCCGCAAUACUCUCAGCCACCUCAGCUGCCUCUAUCUCAGUCUUCAUUAGGCCACCUUCCUGAAGAGACAGCUUACAUGCCUUCUCAAAACUACCCACCAAACCUUCGCCAGCCUGCUUCUCAGACACCAAGUGUGUCCCCUCCCUCGCAAACGUAUUACGGAGCUCCACCUUCUCACUUAUAUGAGUCACCACCCAGCAGACCAAAUUCUGGGUUUCCUACAGGGUACGGGACACAUUCUGGGCCAAACGAACCACAUCCUUACGGUGGACCACCUUCUCAGUAUGUUAGUGGCUCCACAAUAAAACCACAGCAACACUCUUCUGCUAUGAUGCACAGUGGUGGAAGUGGUUAUCUUCAACUCCCAAGUGCUCGGGUAUUACCCCAAUCAAUUCCUUCCGCUUCAGGGGUUAGUGGUGGACCA